rnacentral:rRNA from 1 species
UAAUACGUAGGGGGCAAGCGUUGUCCGGAAUCAUUGGGCGUAAAGAGCGUGUAGGCGGCCCGAUAAGUCCGCCGUGAAAGCCCAGGGCUCAACCCUGGGAUGCCGGUGGAUACUGUCGGGCUAGAGUUCGGAAGAGGCAAGUGGAAUUCCUGGUGUAGCGGUGAAAUGCGCAGAUAUCAGGAGGAACACCUAUGGCGAAGGCAGCUUGCUGGGACGACACUGACGCUGAGACGCGAAAGCGUGGGGAGCAAACAGGAUUAGAUACCCUGGUAGUCCACGCUGUAAACGAUGGGCACUAGGUGUGGGGGGUGUCGACUCCCCCCGUGCCGGCGCUAACGCAUUAAGUGCCCCGCCUGGGGAGUACGGCCGCAAGGCUA